GACGAACGCUGGCGGCGUGCUUAACACAUGCAAGUCGAACGGUAAGGCCCUUCGGGGUACACGAGUGGCGAACGGGUGAGUAACACGUGGGUGAUCUGCCCUGCACUUCGGGAUAAGCCUGGGAAACUGGGUCUAAUACCGGAUAGGACUCCUGCCUGCAUGGGUGGGGGUGGAAAGCUUUUGCGGUGUGGGAUGGGCCCGCGGCCUAUCAGCUUGUUGGUGGGGUGAUGGCCUACCAAGGCGACGCCGGGGAGCCGGCCUGGGAGGGUGACCGGCAACACUGUGACUGAGAGACGGCCCAGACUCCUACGGGAGGCAGCAGUGGGGAAUAUUGCACAAUGGGCGCAAGCCUGAUGCAGCGACGCCGCGUGAGGGAUGACGGCCUUCGGGUUGUAAACCUCUUUCAGCACAGACGAAGCGCAAGUGACGGUAUGUGCAGAAGAAGGACCGGCCAACUACGUGCCAGCCGCCGCCGUAA
rnacentral:rRNA from 1 species